GACAGAGGGUGCAAACGUUGUUCGGAAUUACUGGGCGUAAAGCGAGUGUAGGCGGUUUCCUAAGUCAGGUGUGAAAGCCCCGGGCUCAACCCGGGAAGUGCACUUGAAACUGGGAGGCUGGAGUAUCGGAGAGGUUGGUGGAAUUCUCGGUGUAGAGGUGAAAUUCGUAGAUAUCGAGAGGAACACCGGUGGCGAAGGCGGCCAACUGGACGAAUACUGACGCUGAGACUCGAAAGCGUGGGGAGCAAACAGG
rnacentral:rRNA from 1 species